UGCGACAAACUGCCACAAACCUAGUAGGGA
rnacentral:piRNA from 1 species